CCUACGGGAGGCUGCAGUGAGGAAUAUUGGUCAAUGGACGAGAGUCUGACCCAGCAAAGUAGCGUGAAUGAUGACUGCCCUCUGGGUUGUAAACUUCUUUUAUAUGGGAGUAAAAUGUUCCACGUGUGGGAUUUUGUAUGUACCAUAUGAAUAAGGAUCGGCUAACUCCGUGCCAGCAGCCGCGGUAAUACGGAGGAUCCGAGCGUUAUCCGGAUUGAUUGGGUUUAAAGGGAGCGUAGGUGGAUUGUUAAGUCAGUUGUGAAAGUUUGCGGCUCAACCGUAAAAUUGCAGUUGAAACUGGCAGUCUUGAGUACAGUAGAGGUGAGUGGAAUUCGUGGUGUAGCGGUGAAAUGCUUAGAUAUCACGAAGAACUCCGAUGGCGAAGGCAGUUCACUGGACUGCAACUGACACUGAGGCUCGAAAGUGUGGGUAUCAAACAGGAUUAGAUACCCGAGUAGUC
rnacentral:rRNA from 1 species